GUCCGUGUAGCUAAGCUGGUUAUAGCGCUGCGCUUAUGACGCAGAGGUCCGGGGAUCGAACCCCCGUACGGACA